rnacentral:tRNA from 1 species
GCUACAGAAGCUUAAGAGUUAGCGUCGGUCUUGUAAACCGAAGGAUGAAAUUUAAAUUUCCUGUGGCU